UACGUAGGUGGCUAGCGUUGUUCGGAUUUAUUGGGCGUAAAGGGUCUGUAGGGGGCCCGCUAAGUCUGAUGUGAAAUCCCGAGGCUCAACCUCGGAAUUGCAUUGGAGACUGGCGGGCUAGAGCAUCGGAGAGGUGAGCGGAAUUCCUGGUGUAGCGGUGGAAUGCGUAGAUAUCAGGAAGAACACCGAGAGCGAAGGCAGCUCACUGGACGGUCGCUGACCCUGAGGGACGAAAGCGUGGGGAGCAAACAGGAUUAGAUACCCUGGUAGUCCACGCCGUAAACUUUGUGCGCUUGGUGUGGGGGGAUUCAACCCCCUCCGCACCGGAGCUAACGCGUUAAGCGCACCGCCUGGGGACUACGGCCGCAAGGCUAAA
rnacentral:rRNA from 1 species